rnacentral:rRNA from 1 species
GACGAACGCUGGCGGCGUGCUUAACACAUGCAAGUCGAACGGCAAGGCCCUGCUUUUGUGGGGUGCUCGAGUGGCGAACGGGUGAGUAACACGUGAGUAACCUGCCCUUGACUUUGGGAUAACUUCAGGAAACUGGGGCUAAUCCCGGAUAGGAGCUCCUGCUGCAUGGUGGGGGUUGGAAAGUUUCGGCGGUUGGGGAUGGACUCGCGGCUUAUCAGCUUGUUGGUGGGGUAGUGGCUUACCAAGGCUUUGACGGGUAGCCGGCCUGAGAGGGUGACCGGCCACAUUGGGACUGAGAUACGGCCCAGACGCCUACGGGAGGCAGCAGUGGGGAAUAUUGCACAAUGGGCGGAAGCCUGAUGCAGCAACGCCGCGUGCGGGAUGACGGCCUUCGGGUUGUAAACCGCUUUCGCCUGUGACGAAGCGUGAGUGACGGUAAUGGGUAAAGAAGCACCGGCUAACUACGUG